GACGAACGCUGGCGGCGUGCCUAAUACAUGCAAGUAGAACGCUGAAGGAGGAGCUUGCUUCUCCGGAUGAGUUGCGAACGGGUGAGUAACGCGUAGGUAACCUGCCUGGUAGCGGGGGAUAACUAUUGGAAACGAUAGCUAAUACCGCAUAAUAGUAGAUGUUGCAUGACAUUUGCUUAAAAGGUGCAAUUGCAUCACUACCAGAUGGACCUGCGUUGUAUUAGCUAGUUGGUGGGGUAACGGCUCACCAAGGCGACGAUACAUAGCCGACCUGAGAGGGUGAUCGGCCACACUGGGACUGAGACACGGCCCAGACUCCUACGGGAGGCAGCAGUAGGGAAUCUUCGGCAAUGGACGGAAGUCUGACCGAGCAACGCCGCGUGAGUGAAGAAGGUUUUCGGAUCGUAAAGCUCUGUUGUAAGAGAAGAACGAGUGUGAGAGUGGAAAGUUCACACUGUGACGGUAUCUUACCAGAAAGGGACGGCUAACUACGUGCCAGCAGCCGCGGUAAUACGUAGGUCCCGAGCGUUGUCCGGAUUUAUUGGGCGUAAAGCGAGCGCAGGCGGUUAGAUAAGUCUGAAGUUAAAGGCUGUGGCUUAACCAUAGUACGCUUUGGAAACUGUUUAACUUGAGUGCAAGAGGGGAGAGUGGAAUUCCAUGUGUAGCGGUGAAAUGCGUAGAUAUAUGGAGGAACACCGGUGGCGAAAGCGGCUCUCUGGCUUGUAACUGACGCUGAGGCUCGAAAACGUGGGGAGCAAACAGG
rnacentral:rRNA from 1 species